AUUGAACGCUGGCGGCAGGCCUAACACAUGCAAGUCGAGCGAGCGGCGGACGGGUGAGUAAUGUAGGGGGACCGCCCGAUAGAGGGGGAAAACUACUGGAAACGGUGGCUAAUACCGCAUACUAUAGGGUACCCCAUAUGGGGAUUGCUAGUAGGGGGGGUAAAGGGUCACCUAGGCGACGAUAUCUAGCUGGUCGGAGAGGAUGAUUAACCACACUGGAACUGAUACACGGGCCAGACUACUACGGAGGAAGCAGUGGGGAAUAGUGCACAAUGGGCGCAAGCCUGAUGCAGCCAUGCCGCGUGUAUGAAGAAGGCCUUAGGGUUGUAAAGUACUUUCAGCGGGGAGGCGUUACCCGCAGAAGAAGCACCGGCUAACUCCGUGCCAGCAGCCGCGGUAAUUC
rnacentral:rRNA from 1 species